rnacentral:rRNA from 1 species
AUUCCAGCUCCAAUAGCGUAUAUUUAAGUUGUUGCAGUUAAAAAGCUCGUAGUUGGAUCUUGGGUCGUAAGGGUCGGUCCGCCUACUCGGUGUGCACCUGCCCUUCCGUCCCUUUUGCCGGCGGCGUGCUCCUGGCCUUAAUUGGCUGGGUCGCGGUUCCGGCGCUGUUACUUUGAAAAAAUUAGAGUGCUCAAAGCAAGCUUAUGCUCUGAAUACAUUAGCAUGGAAUAACGUGAUAGGAGUCUGGUCCUAUUGUGUUGGCCUUCGGGACCGGAGUAAUGAUUAAUAGGGACUGUCGGGGGCAUUCGUAUUUCAUUGUCAGAGGUGAAAUUCUUGGAUUUAUGAAAGACGGACCACUGCGAAAGCAUUUGCCAAGGAUGUUUUCAUUA